GGAGGAGGAGGGGGGGGUUAGACGAGUAUUCCACACUCAUCCGAUUAUGUAUAACACCUUUGAUAUGAUGACUGGAUUAGGCGUAAUAUCACUCAGUAAACUCCUCACAUAACACAUAAAGCAUUGUGGUUUGUUAAACAUAAAUUACGAACGGAUGUUCAAGGUAGUGUGUUGAAAUAUACUCAUCCAACGAUUCGUUUAGGAGAUAUCUGCAGGAAACACCGUUUGUCCACCGCUGAAAUGUAUAGUAGGAGCUACAGUUAUAGUUCCUGAUGAGUAUCCUUGGCCAUAUCAUUCUGGGAAUGUGAUAUGUUUAAUUUCACUUUCUUUUUUGUAUGUACAGUUACCUAUAUCAUCAGUUGAUCUUGCAUUUUUUAAUAGUGAUAUUUUUUGUAUUUAGCAAAAGUACACUGGAUAUCUGUAAAAGUGAAUGAUUAUGGUCAUACAUAUAAAAAUUGAAGAAAAUAUUGGAAUACACAAUAACUAGGAUGGUUUGGUGCAAAACACUGAAGUGUUUUACUUCUUAAUUUAGAUUCAAUACAUAUCGAAGUAAUGUUUCUCUGUUGAUUUUUACUUGGUAUAUUAAAUAAUGAUGCAAAAAAUGUAUUCUUUAGAUUUUCAGAGUCUUUAUCAGUAAUAGAUUCAGUUGACAUCUAUUUAACAAUUUUUUACAGUAUCAUGAACUCUUAAAAAGACAGCCUGGGGUUUUGACAGUGCAACCUCACCUUAGCAUCAAUUAGUUUCCUGUCCACUAAGCCCAAAGAUGAGGCCAUACAGAGACUCUGCCAGUGUCGACUUGUCGCUGAGGAAGAAACUUCUCGUGAAUGGAGGUCGCCACGCAUGGGUGGAGGUAGUAGCUCA